ACUUUACCAUCAAGGCCAAGGUUCCUAAACUGCAUUGACCUUGGAUAAGCCUUGAUUGGCAGCCAUCACCUUCAUGAUGUAAAUGUUUGUCAGGACUUGGAAUUUCCUAUUUAGGUAGCCAGUGCAUGAGGAGUUUUCUGCUUUUCUCCCAUUUAUCUAAGGCAGUAGCCCUUCCCCUUCGACAAAAGUAACCACCACAAUGAAAAAACAAUAUUACACAGAUGAAUUGGAAAACCACUAUUAUUGUGUCAUAAUCAAGAGAAGAUUCUGAAGCUCAAUUAAAAAGACCAACUUGUAGUUUCCAAACAGCUUUCUGGAGGAGGGAAGCCAGUGCCUCUUUGUGGCAGGCAACUUUCUGGUUAUUCCUGAUUGCAUCAUAAAGGGAAAUCUGUAGAUUUGCUCCACAUUUCUAAAAGAGGUAAGGAACUUCAAGUUCACAAAUCAUCUCCUUUCAAGGCAGGUGCCCGGUGUGACAUCAGGGUUAUGACCCUCCCUCUCCUCCUCAGAACAGGUAGGUCCAGAAGAGUUAAAUCCCUGCCCUGUAUAAUUUAUAAACAUGAGGCUGAGUAUACAUUUGAUGACUAAACUGCACUCUGAAAUAAUAAUGGAAGACACCCUUUCAAGGAGAAUUAAAUACUUGUGACUUUAUUUCAGCAAACUGAUACUACAAGUUUUGUGGUAUGGAAGUUGAUUAUAUAAUGUCCUUGGAGUUAUAAAAUAGAUUUUUUUUUCCCCAGCACAAAUUGCAUUAGUUGGCAGAAGAUGUGAUGGAAACCAUUUAGUGCCAAGGGGUUCAUGUGGAGCCAUGGAGGGGUGUGAUAGGUUGAAGAGGGGACAUAGUGUUUCAAGGGAAGGACUCCGCAGCCAGAAUUGGACACUGGAUCUGGGUACCUGGCAGCACCCUGGCCUGGUGUCUGUGCAUAAAGGCCACAGAACUCAGGAAAAGCUGCUUUUUCAGAAGGCCCCAAGAAGAAUCCUGAUACUAUACUAUACGCUUUUGAAAAGAAAUCUAGCCUUUAAAAUAAAUGAAUCGGCAAAGAAGGCAAAUCGGCAGAGAAACCUGUUCCUGGAAUUUUCUCCUUGACUUGGUUCACCAAAUUUUCCUGGCCUGGUAAAGAAUUUCCCCAGGGAAGAUUAGCAUUGAAAAGAGAAGCAAAACAUUAUUAUACUCUGGAAGAUUCUAUCUCCUUAAUUUAAAAGCCUCCAUGGGCUGCAUGGCAAUUGUAUCUCAGUAAAACUGAAGGAAAAUAAAGUUUCUGCACCUCAUAUUCUUAGACCAGUACAAUGUCGCCCUUCUGAGGAAAACAUGGUUCCCUGGUUUAAAUCAGAAUGGAAGUCAAAUUUUUGCACUAUGGAAAGUGUAGGGAUUCUGAGCGUUUGAAAAUGAGUGUUUCACACCCUGAGAAAUGUAAACAAGAAACAAACAAUUCUGUGUUUAAUUUUCUUCCCAGUUUGUGGGCCAGACAAGAGGAUAGGUUAUUUUUGCCAAUUUGACAUUAUGUACUCCUGGCCAAGGAAAUGACUUUUUAAAAAAUAAUAACAAUGCAUUUGAUUAUCCUGCGGUUCGCUCUUUCUCACAAACAUUGUGUUUGUUAAUCAAUUUUAAUAUACUGGCUGGUGGGAAGAGUGCUGGGAGGAUGGCCAGUGUCCGUGUUGAAAAAAAAA